GACGAACGCUGGCGGCGUGCCUAAUACAUGCAAGUCGAACGCACUGGGGACGGGUGAGUAACACGUGGGUAACCUCCCAUCAGAGGGGAUAACACUUGGAAACUGGUGCUAAACCGCUACUGGUUGAUGUACCUGGGGUGCAUUAGCUUGUUGGUGGGGUAACGGCUCACCAAGGCCACGAUGCAUAGCCGGUCUGAGAGGGUGAUCAGCCACACUGGGACUGAGACACGGCCCAGACUCCUACGGGAGGCAGCAGUAGGGAAUAUUCCGCAAUGGACGAAAGUCUGACCGAGCAACGCCGCGUGAGUGAAGAAGGUUUUCGGAUCGUAAAACUCUGUUAGUAGAGAAGCGGUAUCUGACCAGAAAGCCACGGCUAACUACGUGCCAGCCGCCGCGGUAAUUC
rnacentral:rRNA from 1 species